GCUAGUGCUCCUAACUUUUUAGUCACCUCACUAGAUAUAGCCACCUUGGUGUUUUUGCUUGUUUGUUUUGACAGGGUGUCUCACUGGGACCCACAUCUCACAGAUUAGACUGAUUUACCAGCUGAGGAACAUCAGGGUUUCUCUGCAGCUUUGGAGUCUAUCCUGGAACUAGCUCUUGUAGAUCAGGCUGGCCUUGAACUCACAGAGAUCUGCUUGCCUCUGCCUCCUGCUUGCUGGGAUUAAAGAUAUGUCUCUGAGUACCUGCCUGGUGUCUUCAGAGAAAACAACUGGACAAGCUCUCUGCUUCGUGCCCAUGGAUACGAUGAGAUCAGCUGCCUCAAGCCCUUGCCUGCCACUUGAAUCAUCACACUUCAACAUGGAACUAAACUCCAAACCAUCAUAGAAGCCCGAAGGGACCUGACCAACUGAGCCUUCAGGAAAACAUGCUUAGCGGAUCUCAAUCUUCCCCAGCAGAGACACAAAUCCAUGAGGCUGGAGGGGAGAUGGCUGAUGGUGAGAUCUCAUGCAGGAUGCAGUGCUCCCACGUCUCAUCUCUGUAUAUUGUCCCAUUGCGAGUCUCUGGGCUAGUUCUUAUCUACCACAAGCUCCUCUGAUGAGAGUUAAGUGAUACACUGAUCUAUAUGCUCUAUGGGUCUAGCAAUAUUUUAUUUGGAAUCAUUUUACUGUUUUGUUCCUUUUGCAGGAUAAUAGGGGUUUCCCCCAAGGUCCAUGAUCUAUCUAUUCUGAGGUUCUUGUAACAUAUUAACAGUGUCAGGUAUGGGGUUGGUUCUAUGGAGUGGGCUAGAAGUCCAAUCGAAGUGAGGGGGGGCGAUUACUCCAAUAAUAUUGGUGCACUAUUACACCUGUAUAUUGUGCAGGCAUGUCACGAUUGUAGGUUGCAAAGUUUAUCGCUGAGUGAUAAUGGUUAUUUGUUUGUUCCUCUCCCAGCAUGCAGAGUACCUUCCAGCUCUAUGAACAUUAAGGAUAAAGCUUCUAGUUGGGUAUCAGCCCAAUUUCUCCAUGGUUGAUGACAUAAGGUCUCACCAUGCUGCUCAUCAUAAUCUCAGACUCAGGCACAGAGGAGGGACUUCUCGCCUGUCUCCUGUGUAUCUUUCACUGAAGAGACAAACCACACACCAAGCUGGUGGCUGUUAAACACAUUGGGAAGUAAGCCUGGAAUAACCCUCCUACAAACUAGGAGUAACAGAGUUUGAACACUCCAGGUAAUAGGACGUCGAUCCACUGUUCUUUUUCUUGAAUAAUUUGCCUGAGAUCAGCAUCCAGUCAAUGAUUGGUGAAGUAGCAUCCACCUGAAUCUUCUCCUUUAUAACCACUGGGAAAGUCCUGAGCCUUUUCAGAGUCCUAGGAAUGUUGCGUAUUUCUGAUACUGUGUCUGACAGCUGCUCGGUGAGGUAGUAGUUCAAGCCAUAAAGCCGCUUCCUCUUCUCAUCCUGAGAAGCUCACACUGGAGACCAUUACUCUUAUCCUAUGGCUUCCUCUACCCUCGUCUGCAAUGGUCACUGAGCCUUGAAAGGAGGACUGUGUGAUACAGAUGCCCUAUGUUCAGCAUGUUCAGCAAGCUCAGUCACACAUUCUCUGCACCCUGAUCGGUUGAAUGUUGCUGUGCUUCCUCUUCCCAUCUUGAGAAGCUCACACUGGAGACCACUACUCUUAGCUUAUGGGAUGUGGGAAGAGGAUGAUGUACAGAACCUGGGCUUUCAACAGCAGUCAGGAAAUUUUCAUUUUUCCAGCAUCCUGUGACAAGGAAGAAGCCUGUGGAAACCUCAUCUACCAGAAUGGGCGUUAAGGUUUAUCUGUGUAACAGCCCUAGUUGUUCUGGAACUAGCUCUGUAGACCAGACUGACCGCAAACUCAGAGACUGUCCUGCUUCUUCCUCCCAAGUGCUGGGACUAAAGGGUCUUACAUACCUGCUCAUAACAACCACAGAUGCAGGCAUGGAGGAAGUGUUUCUUCCCAACUUUGGAGAAGGUUUCAUGGAAGAGAAAUUUGUCACACCUAGCUGGUGGUUCCAACUCAAGUAGUAGAGCCAAGCUUCCUCUCUGCAUCCCGAGAGCUGACACUGGAGGAGAAUAUUUCCCUGAGUUUGUGGUAUUGUAAAACCACUUGCUGCCCAAUUCCAUUUCUGAUUAUUGAUUACUCAUGUAAAUAAUUAGAUUGAACUCUUUAUUUUGUUAUGUUCCUGAUUUUGUUGAGGUCAUUAGAUCUCAGUGCAUCUUCUUGAUAACUUUACACAAGGCUAUGCCCUUUCAUAGAAAUGUAAAAAUCCCAUUUGUCAUUGGCACCAGACAUCUAAGAAUAAGAAUGAUACAGUAUUUGUUUUCCCCAAAAACUUCUUUGAGGAAACCUUCCAGGACAGUGUGUGAUGGACAUGGCAAGGAUGAAUGUUCCUGGUUACUAUUCAACAUGCAGAAGUGCCAUCCUUAACGGCUCUGCACAGGUAUUCACGUGGUAAAUUUUCGUGAGCAGUCAGGAAAGGAAACAAACAACACGAUGACUUGGAAUGGGAUACAGAUUUGCUGAGCCUUCAUUACUCUCCUCAACUGGAUCAUGAAACAAGUUGGAUUUUUUUUUGUGGGAUGAUGGAUAA